ACAGCGUAUCUCUUAGGUUCUAAUAGACAGGGGGGGGGGGGGUUGAAUAAUUUUGCAUUGCAGGCUAUUUAAUAGUAAAUUGAUGAAGUAGGACACAGUCUGGGAGUUGUAGUUUUGCAACAACUAGAGGUCCACAAUUCGGAGACCAUUGAUAUAGAUGACAGGGGUGAAGUAAAAGUCCUCUGCUGUGACUCGUGAAUCUACGACGCGCGCCGACUAACCGCGCCAGAACCGCCGUAAAUGACUGCCCGCUGAUUCAUCCGAUCCCCAAUUACAGAUGACAGUGGCAGCGUCUGCUCCCUGCGUGGGAUUAUUACAAGCUGUGUCACGCCAGAGUUUGUUCUCUUCCCCGUCCAAAAGAAUUUAUAGAGCCUUUUUUAUAUUCUUCCAAGUUUUACAACUGAAGAAAAAGUCCAGUUAAUGGAGGACAAAGAUAGAGGCCAAUUUAUCCUAAAAUGCCUGCAGAGAACCUUCCACGUGGCUGGACGCCAAAGCUCCGCAUCUUUCCCCGAGUAAGAGGAUUGAGCUUGUAGCACCAGUUUUGGUGGAUAAAGCGGGGUCUCGAUCAAUGAUGGACGCAGUUCAGCUAUACGCAUUUCAGGGCGAUGUCCAAAGGGCUCCUAAAGGAACAAAUAUCAUUAAAAUGGAUCAGAAAGAGCUCCUCGAAUGGAAAAGGAAAUUUGAGCUCCACUCUAAAGUAAGGAGGGGGAGAAGUUUUGAAGGAAAAUACUAAAUUUAACAUCUAUGCCCAGAGAAAUUCUGGGUGGAGAGUCCGUCUACUGCGGGUACCACUGAAAUCCAUCAGCACUAGGACCAGACGGAGCUGAGCCAUCACCAUUAAUGGCAUUGCAGUCCACACAGAAUUUUGCCCAAAGAAUGAACAGAAUACUGUGAAAAUUCUGCACUGUGAAAGGGUCAAUGGAAAGUCCAUACAAACCAAUGUUAUCUUCAUUCAGGAAGAAUUUCCGAGCGGGAUUUCGGAGCUCGAUAAAUCUGUAGUGUGAACGAGCUCUAAAGAUUCAAGUCUCAUAAUUCAUUUGCUCAUC